AUACGGAGGGGGCUAGCGUUGUUCGGAAUUACUGGGCGUAAAGGGCACGUAGGCGGUAUAUCAAGUUAGGCGUGAAAGCCCCGGGCUCAACCCGGGAACUGCGCUUAUUACUGAUAGACUAGAGAGCGGGAGAGGGUAGCGGAAUUCCCAGUGUAGAGGUGAAAUUCGUAGAUAUUGGGAAGAACACCAGUUGCGAAGGCGGCUACCUGGACCGGUUCUGACGCUGAGGUGCGAAAGCGUGGGGAGCAAACAGGAUUAGAUACCCCAGUAGUCC
rnacentral:rRNA from 1 species